UACGUAGGGUGCAAGCGUUGUCCGGAAUUAUUGGGCCUAAAGCGUCCGUAGCUGGCGUGUUAGAUGCCUGGGUAAAUCGAUGCGCUUAACGCAUCGAAUUCCGGGUAGACCGGCACGCUCGAGACCGGGAGAGGUAUGGGGUACUCGGGGGGUAGGGGUAAAAUCCUGUAAUCCUCCGGGGACGACCAGUGGCGAAGGCGCCAUACUAGAACGGCUCUGACAGUGAGGGACGAAGCCCUGGGGCGCAAACCGG
rnacentral:rRNA from 1 species